AUGCUGAAAGUGGCUAGUGACUUUUACAAAGACCUUUUUAAGAAAGAAAACCCUUCUGGUUUCUCUCUGCAAAACAACUUCUUCUCUGCUUCUGAAAAAGUCUCUCUUGCUGAAAAUGAGAUGCUUGAAGCACCUUUUUCAGAGGCAGAGGUGAAGGAAGCCAUUUUCAGCUCCUAUCCUGAUGGGUCUCCUGGCCCUGAUGGAAUUCCUUUCUUGUUUUACCAGUAUUUUUGGGACUUGGUGAAAAAAGAUCUCAUGGAUCUUUUCCAAGCCUUUCAUAGAGGAGAGUUAGAUAUAUACAGGCUCAAUUUUGCUAUGCUCUUCCUUAUUCCUAAAGAGCCUGAGGCCACUUCUAUAAAGAAAUUCAGGCCCAUCAGCCUGAUUAAUUGUAGUUUUAGGAUUUUCUCUAAAGUCCUCACUACUAGGCUUUCUAAAGUUUUGCAAAGGUUGAUUGCCAGCAACCAAUCUGCAUUUCUCAAGGGGAGGUAUAUAUUAGAAAGUGUGGUUACUGCUCAUGAAGUCCUCCACUCUGUUCAUUCAGGUGGGGAUAAAUGGCUGGUGCUUAAACUGGACUAUGAGAAAGCCUUUGAUAAAGUAGACCUCAAUUUC
rnacentral:rRNA from 1 species